UACGGAGGGUGCGAGCGUUAAUCGGAAUUAUUGGGCGUAAAGCGCGCGCAGGCGGUCCUUUAAGUCUGAUGUGAAAGCCCACGGCUCAACCGUGGAGGGUCAUUGGAAACUGGGGGACUUGAGUGCAGAAGAGGAAAGUGGAAUUCCACGUGUAGCGGUGAAAUGCGUAGAGAUGUGGAGGAACACCAGUGGCGAAGGCGACUUUCUGGUCUGUAACUGACGCUGAGGCGCGAAAGCGUGGGGAGCAAACAGG
rnacentral:rRNA from 1 species